rnacentral:lncRNA from 10 species
CUCACUCCCGCCACAGCUUGGGAUCGGUCUCUGCUGUUUUACGUCCUCCACCUCGGGAGCCCCCGGUGACUGUCACAGCCUCUUGCCCUGUGAUCUGCAGGUUCUGGGAGACGCACAGCUAAGAUGCCAGGACAUCCUGGAAGCUGGGAAAAGGCAGUUUCACUCUCGUUGCCCAGGCUGGAGUGCAAUGGCGUGAUCUCAGCUCACUACAACCUCCACCUCCCAGGUUCAAGGGAUUCUCCUGCCUCAGCCUCCCAAGUUCUGACAACAAAGGAGAUUGUGACAUAUUGCUGGGCCUAACACUAAGGUGAUGUUAGUUAUUUGCUUUGGCUGUGCCCUUGGAAGGCAUUGAGACAUACUGCUGUGCCCAGCACCAAGAUGAUGUAACGUGACUCUUCUGCUUCAGGCCUGCCAAAAGAAAAGAUUGUGACAGAUCACUGGACCCAGCACCUAGGUAGGAUUGUGACAUAUAUCUGGCCAAGCGUACAGAUGUAAUGAUGACUGUCAUACCUUGAAGAAGCCAAUAGCAGAGAGAAUGUUGCUCUCAGG